rnacentral:rRNA from 1 species
AGAAUCAACGCUGGCGGCGUGCCUAACACAUGCAAGUCGAACGAGAAAGGGGUAGCAAUACCCUGAGUAAAGUGGCGCACGGGUGAGUAACACGUGACUAACCUACCCUGGAGUGGGGGAUAACUGAGGGAAACCUUAGCUAAUACCGCAUAAUACCUACGGGUCAAAGGAGCAAUUCGCUCGAGGAGGGGGUCGCGGCCGAUUAGUUAGUUGGCGGGGUAAUGGCCCACCAAGACGAUGAUCGGUAU